rnacentral:rRNA from 1 species
ACGAACGCUGGCGGCGUGCCUAAUACAUGCAAGUUGAGCGAUGAAGAUUGGUGCUUGCACCAAUUUGAAGAGCAGCGAACGGGUGAGUAACGCGUGGGGAAUCUGCCUUUGAGCGGGGGACAACAUUUGGAAACGAAUGCUAAUACCGCAUAACAACUUUAAACAUAAGUUUUAAGUUUGAAAGAUGCAAUUGCAUCACUCAAAGAUGAUCCCGCGUUGUAUUAGCUAGUUGGUGAGGUAAAGGCUCACCAAGGCGAUGAUACAUAGCCGACCUGAGAGGGUGAUCGGCCACAUUGGGACUGAGACACGGCCCAAACUCCUACGGGAGGCAGCAGUAGGGAAUCUUCGGCAAAGGACGAAAGUCUGACCGAGCAACGCCGCGUGAGUGAAGAGGGUUUUCGGAUCGUAAAACUCUGUUGGUAGAGAAGAACGUUGGUGAGAGUGGAAAGCUCACCAAGUGACGGUAACUACCCAGAAAGGGACGGCUAACUACGU